ACGAACGCUGGCGGCAGGCUUAACACAUGCAAGUCGAGGGGCAGCGAGGGUAGCAAUACCUGUCGGCGACCGGCGGAAGGGUGAGUAACGCGUGAGCAACAUACCCGUAUCAGUGGGAUAAUACAGGGAAACUUGUUCUAAUAUCGCAUAAUAUUAUUCAGAGGCAUCUUUGGAUAAUUAAAGUUACGGCGGAUACGGAAUGGCUCGCGUGACAUUAGCUAGAUGGUAGGGUAAUGGCCUACCAUGGCGAUGAUGUCUAGGGGUUCUGAGAGGGAGGUCCCCCACACUGGAACUGAGACACGGUCCAGACUCCUACGGGAGGCAGCAGUGAGGAAUAUUGGACAAUGGAUGGAAAUCUGAUCCAGCCAUGCCGCGUGCAGGAAGGCGGCCCUAUGGGUUGUAAACUGCUUUUGUACGGGAGCAAUAAGGUCUACGAGUAGAUUGAUGAGAGUACUGUACGAAUAAGACAUCGGCUAACUCCGUG
rnacentral:rRNA from 1 species